GCAGGGCACUGAACUGGAACUGCGUGGCGCGGAGGUGGGCAUCAGAAAGCCCGGGAAGGGGGAAUCUGGCUGGCAUCAUCACACAAAGGACGACCGAGUCACCGAGUGAGGAGAGCUGUGGGUCAUAACAGGAGAAGCAGCCGGCGGCAGAACACAGAGGGCCCUGAACAUUCAGGAGUCAGGCAAGGAGCACAAGGUCCUCGCUUCCCGGAGUUUCUGGACGUGAACAGAAAGCAACACUUUGAUGAUCAUGUGGGCAGGAGAGGGAUGAACUUUGGUGGGGUGAGGGGCAGGGAAACCGGACUUUUAGGCUCUCUGAGCAUCCCACCAAGUGGCUGUCGGUUCAGAAGACCUGUCCCCAGGGCGACUAAUGUCUGCACAAGAAUUGACUCAGGUGUUGCUGCUCUCAGUACGGUAGAAAAGGUUUCUAACAGUGGUGCGUUGGAGCUGCCCCAACCAGCACGUGAGAGCUGAUGGUUACAUGAUGAGGGCCAGGGGCUACGAAAUAAUACUCUGCUUUCCUCUCCUGCCUUCAGACCCAGCAGAGAAACAGGAAAUGAGAGGCAGACGAAAGGAGAUCAAGCUGUCAGCUUGAUUCCUGACACAGGCAUCAUCUUCAUCCCUAUACUGAACUUCCCAGCACUCACGCUCUGCAGACCUCCUUCUUCAGGGGACACUUCUCAAAAGAAGACAUUUAUGCGGCCAAAAAACAUCAUCACUGGUCAUUAGAG